UACGUAGGCAGCGAGCGUUGUUCGGAGUUACUGGGCGUAAAGAGUGCGUAGGCGGUUUUCUAAGUUUGGUGUGAAAUCUCCCGGCUUAACUGGGAGGGUGCGCCGAAGACUGGAAGGCUUGAGUAUGGGAGAGGUAAGCGGAAUUCCUGGUGUAGCGGUGAAAUGCGCAGAUAUCAGGAGGAACACCGGUGGCGAAGGCGGGACUCUGGGCCGAUACUGACGCUGAGGAGCGAAAGCGUGGGGAGCAAACAGG
rnacentral:rRNA from 1 species